UGCUGACCGCUGCUCCGACGCGG
rnacentral:miRNA from 1 species